AGGGGAAUAGCUUGGUUAAAUGGUGGUUCCAUAUCCAGCUUUCUAAGGAAUCUCCAUACUGCUUUCCAAAUUGGCAGAACCAAUUUGCAGUCCCACCAGCAAU
rnacentral:pre_miRNA from 1 species